rnacentral:rRNA from 1 species
UACGGAGGAUCCAAGCGUUAUCCGGAAUCAUUGGGUUUAAAGGGUCCGUAGGCGGUUUUAUAAGUCAGUGGUGAAAUCCGGCAGCUCAACUGUCGAACGGCCAUUGAUACUGUAGAACUUGAAUUACUGUGAAGUAACUAGAAUAUGUAGUGUAGCGGUGAAAUGCUUAGAUAUUACAUGGAAUACCAAUUGCGAAGGCAGGUUACUAACAUUAUAUUGACGCUGAUGGACGAAAGCGUGGGGAGCGAACAGG